rnacentral:rRNA from 1 species
GACGAACGCUGGCGGCGUGCUUAACACAUGCAAGUCGAGCGGUAAGGCCCUUUCGGGGGUACACGAGCGGCGAACGGGUGAGUAACACGUGGGUGACCUGCCCUCAGCUCUGGGAUAAGCCUGGGAAACCGGGUCUAAUACCGGAUAUGACUCCAUGACGCAUGUUGUGGGGUGGAAAGCCUUGUGCGGCUGAGGGUGGCCCGCGGCCUAUCAGCUUGUUGGUGGGGUGAUGGCCACCAAGGCGACGACGGGUAGCCGGCCUGAGAGGGCGACCGGCCACACUGGGACUGAGACACGGCCCAGACUCCUACGGGAGGCAGCAGUGGGGAAUUUUGGACAAUGGCGCAAGCCUGAUCCAGCCAUGCCGCGUGCGGGAAGAAGGCC